rfam:Nodularia spumigena CCY9414 genome.
CACCGCCCGUCACACCAUGGAAGCUGGUCACGCCCGAAGUCGUUACCCCAACUGUUCGCAGAGGGGGAUGCCGAAGGCAGGACUGGUGACUGGGGUGAAGUCGUAACAAGGUAGCCGUACCGGAAGGUGUGGCUG